rnacentral:rRNA from 1 species
GUGAACGCUGGCGGUAGGCCUAACACAUGCAAGUCGAACGGCAGCACAGUAAGAGCUUGCUCUUACGGGUGGCGAGUGGCGGACGGGUGAGGAAUACAUCGGAAUCUACUUUUUCGUGGGGGAUAACGUAGGGAAACUUACGCUAAUACCGCAUACGACCUACGGGUGAAAGCAGGGGAUCUUCGGACCUUGCGCGAUUGAAUGAGCCGAUGUCGGAUUAGCUAGUUGGCGGGGUAAAGGCCCACCAAGGCGACGAUCCGUAGCUGGUCUGAGUGGAUGAUCAGCCACACUGGAACUGAGACACGGUCCAGACUCCUACGGGAGGCAGCAGUGGGGAAUAUUGGACAAUGGGCGCAAGCCUGAUCCAGCCAUACCGCGUGGGUGAAGAAGGCCUUCGGGUUGUAAAGCCCUUUUGUUGGGAAAGAAAAGCAGCAGGUUAAUACCCCGCUGUUCUGACGGUACCCAAAGAAUAAGCACCGGCUAACUUCGUG